GCGGUUGUGGUGUAACGGUUAACAUUGGUGCUUGUGGAGCACUCGAUUCGAGUUCAACUCUCGACAACCGCC
rfam:Candidatus Kaiserbacteria bacterium RIFCSPHIGHO2_02_FTLL_55_20 rifcsphigho2_02_scaffold_13623, whole genome shotgun sequence.